GACUCAUCUUCUCCCUCUCAUCCUCUCAUCUUCUCACCGGCGUUCCCUGCAGGUGUCGUCUCUCCGGAAACCGCUUUCCUUUCCGUCACUCUACAUCUCACUUCCUUCUCAGCUGCCACAGAGAUCCUAGACUAGCUCGUGUGGUGCUAUUUUGCAGCAGAAGCAUACAUCCAUAUUCGGAUCUUCCGCUCUCUCAUCCUCUUCUCGUUUUUCUUCCUGAUCUCGUCCCUGCUUCCUCUAAGACCUGCAACUGGAGUUAUCCUCCUUCGAGACUUAAAAGUUUUGUUUCAGUACUUUGGGAGAGUUGCAUAGAAAGACAAGUGCUCAAUGGGGGAUUGUUUUUGAAACUCAGAGAAGUUCAAGAAGAGCAUAACAUUAAGGAGAUAACGAGGACCAUACAUAUAUAUGAAGAAGAGAACCCUACAAAAUAAUUGAAGAGCAUAAGUUUACUUUAUAAAUAUUCAUGGUUGCUGAACUAUGUUACACAUUGUAAUAUUACAAUUUAUGUAAAAAAAAUGAUUUGUUAGUACUAAUAAUUGUUAUUUAGGUGAAUCAUUCAGGUAUUUUUUUUUUUAUAAAAGUGACUGUUACGGCGGUUCAAACUGCCACUAUGUGUUUUUUUUCUUAAACAAUGGGCAUUACGGCAGUUCAAACUGCCACUAUGUGUUUUUUUUCUUAAACAAUGGGCAUUACGGCAGUUCAAACUGCCACUAUGCUCAAUUUUUUUUUGCUGAAAAAGUGUGUAUUAUGGCGGGUUAAACCGCCGGAUUAACCAAACGCGUAUUACGGCAGUUUGCGUGGCGGUCCUUCUUAAAUCGCCGCAGUACAUCCAAAUUUUAGCCGCCGGAUCAUGGUGAUGAAUUUUGAGGGAGACCAUUUUUAGAGUGUCCUACUGCCCUAUGAAUGUGAAACAUAACAUUUUUAGAAUGUGUUCUAUUGCCUUUUGAGCGUGAAACCUUCACAUUUUUAGAUUGUGUUCUAUUGCCAUCUGAGCGUCGACAUUUUUAGAUUGUGUUCGUGUUAUAUGUAUAUAUGA
rnacentral:lncRNA from 1 species